rnacentral:rRNA from 1 species
AGCCAUGCGAGUCGAGAGGGUUCGGCCCUCGGCUGACGGCUCAGUAACACGUGGAUAAUCUGCCCUUAGGUGGAGGAUAACCUCGGGAAACUGAGAAUAAUACUCCAUAGGCCUAGGAUGCUGGAAUGCACUUAGGCUCAAAGUUCCGGCGCCUAAGGAUGAGUCUGCGGACUAUCAGGUUGUAGUCAGGGUAAUGACCUGACUAGCCUACGACGGAUACGGGUUGUGAGAGCAAUAACCCGGAGAUGAUAUCUGAGACACGAUAUCAGGCCCUACGGGGCGCAGCAGGCGCGAAAACUUCACAAUGCGCGAAAGCGCGAUGAGGGAAUCCCAAGUGCUUGCACGUAAGUGUAAGCUGUUUUUAUGUUUAAAAAGCAUAGAGAGUAAGGGCUGGGUAAGACGGGUGCCAGCCGCCGCGGUAAUACCUGCAGCUCAAGUGGUGGCCGCUAUUAUUGGGCCUAAAACGUCCGUAGCCGGUUUAAUAAAUGCCCGGGUAAAUCGUGUAGCUUAACUAUACGAAUUCCGGGUAGACUGUUAAACUUGAGACCGGGAGAAGUUAGAGGUACUCCUGGGGUAGAGGUGAAAUUCUGUAAUCCUAGGGGGACCACCGGUGGCGAAGGCGUCUGACUAGAACGGGUCCGACGGUGAGGGACGAAGCUCUGGGGCGCAAACCGGAUUAGAUACCCGGGUAGUCCAGGGUGUAAACGCUG